AGUACGCGCGCUUCAUGAGCUCUCACGAGGAGGUAACUACGCCACCAAAAUCGGAAACCUCCUCCUCCCCUCCCCCAUAUCAACGCAGUUCCCUUCCUCGGUUCCUCCUCUUGUACGAAGGAUUCCUUCUUGAGCAGAUCGAUCGUGGCAUGUCCUCCUUCCUGAGUCUCAUAGCUCGCCCCGCCAAUUCCACCAUUGAGGUUAAGGGCACAAGAGGCGUACCUUGUUCAGGAACUGGGACGACAAGCAGAUCAAUCCCCACACCCGAUUCAUAGAAACAGAAGAAUUUUGGGGAGCCUUCAGAUAGAGUGGAUUGCUUCUGGUAACUGCUGGGGCGUUAGCAGAUAUGUCACGGAGAAGAAUUAAUGUUGUUGAAUCCAAGGAAGAAUAUAUGAUGGAAGAAUCGAUCGAACAUCAUAAUUCUGCUGAAAAAGAUGUCGAAUCAUCUGAUGUCCAUGGAAGAGCUACUAAUGAUGAAGAAGGCUUCACAGAUUGUGAUGAUGCCGAUGAAAAUGAAGAUUCUGAAAAUGAGAAACAAAAGAGCGUAAGAAGAGGAAGCUGAAAUAUAUUUGGAACCUUCCAAAAGGGAAAAGGAUAAUGGUUCGCUGCAAUGACAUAGACCAGCCAAUUGGAAAAGAGGCUAAACAUCUUGGGGACUUUCUUGGCUCAGUUGCAAGGAAUGGGUCAUUGUAUUGCUUGAGCUACAAGGAUUGGAGAUUGCUCAAAACUAAAAAAAAUGUAAA